rnacentral:sRNA from 1 species
AUAUAUCCCUAUACAGCGUGGCUUUCAUCCUUACUUUAUCUUCAUGUUCAGGAAAAAAUGAGGAGGAAAAAACGGUGUAUGAAAACACG